AUUGAACGCUGGCGGCAUGCCUUACACAUGCAAGUCGAACGGCAGCACGGACUUCGGUCUGGUGGCGAGUGGCGAACGGGUGAGUAAUGUAUCGGAACGUACCUUUCAGUGGGGGAUAACGUAGCGAAAGUUACGCUAAUACCGCAUAUUCUGUGAGCAGGAAAGCAGGGGAUCGAAAGACCUUGCGCUGAUUGAGCGGCCGAUAUCAGAUUAGCUAGUUGGUGGGGUAAAGGCCUACCAAGGCGACGAUCUGUAGCGGGUCUGAGAGGAUGAUCCGCCACACUGGAACUGAGACACGGUCCAGACUCCUACGGGAGGCAGCAGUGGGGAAUUUUGGACAAUGGGGGCAACCCUGAUCCAGCAAUGCCGCGUGAGUGAAGAAGGCCUUCGGGUUGUAAAGCUCUUUCGGCCGGGAAGAAAUCGCAUAGGCUAAUACCCUGUGUGGAUGACGGUACCGGAAUAAGAAGCACCGGCUAACUACGUG
rnacentral:rRNA from 1 species